rnacentral:tRNA from 1 species
ACCUGUCUGGGAAACGGGAAAUCCCUGUGCCUCUAGAGCGUAGAAUUGGCAAUGGUCGCUUUAUCGAAGUGGUC